CGCAAAUCACAUCUUUUUUAAAAAAAUCAUGACUAGAAGAUAUAGCUAACAAUGUGUCUCCUCUUUAAGAACGGAUUAAGUAUCAGUUUUUGUCGUGACUUUCAUAUUUACAUAUGCUCGGCGUACUACUAUUUAAAUCAUUCCAAACUAUUAGUAUGGAUAUAAAUCAAAGUUUCGAUUGCUAAGUAGUCAUCAAGAAAUUAUUACAAGAUGAAUUUCAAUUUCUUCAAAAUUGUUUUCACUACUGGAAUUUUUCUUCUGUCUUUACUUUCUGAAGUAAAUGGAGGACCUUUCAGAUUAAACUUGGUUGAGACAAGAAAGGAGAUGGAAGGUAUAGAAGAAGCUUUUGCUGGUUAAGCAUCUGACACCAUGACCUUUAAGAAGAUAGUCUGUUUAAAUCAAGAAACUAACAUUGUGUUUAAGAUAUUAAAUAAAUGAUUUUACAAAAUUAAUAACUCAUAAGUCGUUCUUCCAAACCGUUUUCAAAAACGUUUUUACACUAUGCUGCAGGUUGUCUAGAAAAGAAAAUUUUUCUAUUGUAAACAAAACAGGUAACCAUUUUACAAACUCUGAUUAAAAUAGGGAAUUACUCGUU